GGUUGAUCCUGCCAGUAGUCAUAUGCUUGUCCUAAAGAUUAAGCCAUGCAUGUGUACGUUCAAGCCCUUGUACGGUGAAACUGCGGAUGGCUCAUUAUAUCAGUGAUAGUUUGGUUGAUGGAGUUCUUAUCGUGGAUAACCGUGGUAAUUCUAGAGCUAAUACAUGCAGAGGGGACGCAAGUCUGGCAUUUAUUAGAUAAAGCCUUGGCAGCGCAAGCUGCUGCGGUGAGUGAUGAUAACUGGGCGGAUCGCGCAGGUCGCGACGCAUCAAGGAAAUUUCUGCCCUAUCAA
rnacentral:rRNA from 1 species